rnacentral:lncRNA from 1 species
AAGCAUCCAACGGUCCAAGUAAUUGGUAAAUUAAAAUUAAAAAGAAAUAAAGAAGGCUUAUUAUAUUAGCACCCCACAAAUUGUUGAAUAAACCCCACAUACUUAAUAUACCCCACAUUUACUUUUUCAAUUAAAAAUUAUCUUAAUACACCUCACUUCCUUCCCCAUAAUACCCUCACACCCCACAUUCUUAAUAUACACCUUAUAUUUUCUA